AUUGAACGCUGGCGGCAGGCUUAACACAUGCAAGUCGAGCGGAGAUGAGGUGCUUGCACCUUAUCUUAGCGGCGGACGGGUGAGUAAUGCUUAGGAAUCUGCCUAUUAGUGGGGGACGACAUUCCGAAAGGAAUGCUAAUACCGCAUACGUCCUACGGGAGAAAGCAGGGGAUCUUCGGACCUUGCGCUAAUAGAUGAGCCUAAGUCGGAUUAGCUAGCUGGUGGGGUAAAGGCCUACCAAGGCGACGAUCUGUAGCGGGUCUGAGAGGAUGAUCCGCCACACUGGGACUGAGACACGGCCCAGACUCCUACGGGAGGCAGCAGUGGGGAAUAUUGGACGAUGGGGGGAACCCUGAUCCAGCCAUGCCGCGUGUGUGAAGAAGGCCUUAUGGUUGUAAAGCACUUUAAGCGAGGAGGGGGCUACUGAGACUAAUACUCUUGGAUAGUGGACGUUACUCGCAGAAUAAGCACCGGCUAACUCUGUGCCAGCCGCCGCAGUAAAAC
rnacentral:rRNA from 1 species